AUAAAUACGCAGGGAGAUACCAUGAUCACGAAGGUGGUUUUCCCAGGGCGAGGCUUAUCCAUUGCACUCCGGAUGUGCUGACCCCUGCGAUUUCCCCAAAUGUGGGAAACUCGACUGCAUAAUUUGUGGUAGUGGGGGACUGCGUUCGCGCUUUCCCCUG
rnacentral:snRNA from 1 species